rnacentral:rRNA from 1 species
GAUGAACGCUGGCGGCGUGCCUAAUACAUGCAAGUCGAGCGAACGGACGAGAAGCUUGCUUCUCUGAUGUUAGCGGCGGACGGGUGAGUAACACGUGGAUAACCUACCUAUAAGACUGGGAUAACUUCGGGAAACCGGAGCUAAUACCGGAUAAUAUUUUGAACCGCAUGGUUCAAUAGUGAAAGACGGUCUUGCUGUCACUUAUAGAUGGAUCCGCGCUGCAUUAGCUAGUUGGUAAGGUAACGGCUUACCAAGGCAACGAUGCGUAGCCGACCUGAGAGGGUGAUCGGCCACACUGGAACUGAGACACGGUCCAGACUCCUACGGGAGGCAGCAGUAGGGAAUCUUCCGCAAUGGGCGAAAGCCUGACGGAGCAACGCCGCGUGAGUGAUGAAGGUCUUCGGAUCGUAAAACUCUGUUAUUAGGGAAGAACAAAUGUGUAAGUAACUGUGCACAUCUUGACGGUACCUAAUCAGAAAGCCACGGCUAACUACGUG